rnacentral:rRNA from 1 species
UGGGGAAUAUUGGACAAUGGGCGAAAGCCUGAUCCAGCCAUGCCGCGUGUGUGAAGAAGGUCUUCGGAUUGUAAAGCAUUUUAAGUUGGGAGGAAGGGCAGUAAGCGAAUACCUUGCUGUUUUGACGUUACCGACAGAAUAAGCACCGGCUAACUCUGUGCCAGCAGCCGCGGUAAUACAGAGGGUGCGAGCGUUAAUCGGAUUUACUGGGCGUAAAGCGUGCGUAGGCGGCUAAUUGAGUCGGAUGUGAAAUCCCCGAGCUUAACUUGGGAAUUGCAUUCGAUACUGGUUAGCUAGAGUGUGGGAGAGGAUGGUAGAAUUCCAGGUGUAGCGGUGAAAUGCGUAGAGAUCUGGAGGAAUACCGAUGGCGAAGGCAGCCAUCUGGCCUAACACUGACGCUGAGGUACGAAAGCAUGGGGAGCAAACAGG